rnacentral:rRNA from 1 species
CCUACGGGAGGCAGCAGUGGGGAAUUUUGGACAAUGGGCGCAAGCCUGAUCCAGCCAUGCCGCGUGAGUGAAGAAGGCCUUCGGGUUGUAAAGCUCUUUCGGCCGGGAAGAAAUCGUGUUCUCUAACAUAGGACAUGGAUGACGGUACCGGACUAAGAAGCACCGGCUAACUACGUGCCAGCAGCCGCGGUAAUAUGUAG